CUAGGAAAAUCAAAAAAUAACCUUUCCUGUCAGAUUUCCUUAUAGAAAAAGUACUAUUAUUGUGAAUCGGAGCAAAAUUGCUGGUAGUAAAGUUGUUCACGGGAAAUUAAAAGGCCAUAAUAUAUUUUCAACUAAUACCUAUAUUUCGUACAUUUUCCCGUUUUUCCUCCUUUUGUUUUCGGUUUUUCAUUUGUUGAGAAAACUGCUGAGAAAAUCGAAAAA